UGGAUUAUGCCUGAACGCCUCUAAGGUCGUAUCCGUGCUGGACUGCAAUGAUAAAUAAUGGGCAAUUUGCAUUGUAUGGCUUCUAAACCAUUAAAAGUUUUUAAUUUGUUUUAUUAACGACAAUGGAUGUGAUGCCAAUGUUAUUUAUAACAUAGUAAAUUGGGAGGAUCUUCGAUCACCUGAUGCCCCCCUAGUUAUAUUUUAAAACAUUAUUUAAUACAAUGUCAAAGCCUAGAAUCAAUUGUAAACGACUUUUGUAACACGCAAAGUGUUGUAAGUGGUUGAGCAGCUGCCAUACUGCGAUCCACUGAAUCUUAUCCUUUGCUUGAUGAUUCAA
rnacentral:ncRNA from 1 species